rnacentral:lncRNA from 1 species
UUGAAGAUGACUCACUACCACCAUGUCCAACCUCCAAUUUGAAGGAAAAUGGAAAGGGGAAAGUUGAACCAACAGUACCUUUAUGAAGGCAUGGCCUGAAAAUGGAAGAUUAUCACUUCUCUUUGCAUCACACUGGCAGAUCAGUGUGGAAAUGGAUGUGGACGCGGUGCUGCUGCCUGAGAUUAGCAGGAAGCAAUUCUUUUCCCAUUUGGAGAGACCCCGGUGAGACCUGAUCAACUAGCAACAUGCGGAAGUCACACCAUUAAGUCUUCCAAUUUGCUAGCAGCAAAUCAAUGAACUCUGAUAGCUGCUGCCCUAAGCUAGCAUCCAGGGAACUGUGGACAAGCUAUUUGAUACCUGAAUUUUAGUGAAGGAAAGUUAAAUUUUUUCUUAAAGCAGGGUGGGAGUGGGGUUGUGUGGGGAAGAUUAUAUUAAGCAGUGAGAGAAGACAGAUGGAGUUUUGUAGAAAGAGAGCUGGUUGUUUUAAAUUGUAUCUUAAAUUUAUUGUAGAGCUAUUGGUAAUUAGUGUUUUGUUGUUGUGUGUUUAUACCAACCAAUUAAUAAGAAAGGCUUUUAUUUUUAUUUCAUCAGUUGGAGCUGAACUUUAUUUUUUAUUAUAAAUAUAAGGCAUUAUUCUAGGGCCUGGCAAACAUAGGCAGCCACUUUUUUUUUCUGGGGAAGAUUAUACCUUGGUAUGUUUUCACCACUGUGAGAUGAAAAUUUGAGAACAGUGAGAGACAGAUGCUUGCCUGAGGAGUUUUAUUUUCCCUUUAAUCCUUAUCAAAUAUCCAGAUAUUACCUAUAUUGCCUUGAUCUGCUGUCUGAAGGCUUUGUUGGGCCAGGAGAUGGUUUUGCAGCAGCAGAAGACUAUGAACUGGGCUUUGGGAGAUAGGAUCUCUGGUUGUAUUCUGGCUAUCCACACUCUGAAAGAGGACCGUGACAGAGAAUUUGAGUAUCCUACCAAUAUACCUACAAAAGGAUGAAAGAAGAUUUGGAGUCAAGGGAAAACAAGGGCAAUAAAAUAGAAGCUUACCACCUGCUCUCAUACAGUUGCUAGAAGAGGACUGCAUAUUUGGUUCUAAGUUUCUGGAAGAUAAAGCCAAAAUAGAAACACAACUCAUUAUAAAAUUUUGGUGUAUCCAUAAAAUAAAAACAAAUGACCUGUUUGAGAAAACUCUUUCUGAGUUUGAGCUCUAAAAGGAACUUCUCUAUGGAAUCCUUAGAAUAUGAGAAGGCUGUGAUAUAGGGGAGAAACCCCUUGACAUUCCUAUAUUGGGUUUAGGUCUAAUUUCACUCAGUAGUUUUUAAAUGUUACUCCUUGUAGACAGAUGAUGAGACGCCAAAGUACAGCUGAGUGAAAGCGGUUCCUUUGAAAACUAAAGGCUGUAAAAACAAGGCUGUGGAUCAUGUUGUUUCAGUUCUUUAUAGAUUUUUUAAACUGAAUUUUGCAUCUGUGUACAUGAAGAAUAAAUUGUAGAAUAUCUAAGGAAAUGGAUGGGCUGCUUAUCUUUUAGAACCUCCAUAAAUUAUUUAUUGUAAGUAUGUUUGAUAAGGAUUGUACAGCUGAGAGUUCAAGGUUGCAUUUUUUUCCCCAGCAAGAACCAAAAGUGCAGAUAACAUGCAGCCAAUUAAGGACAAAUCUGUAUGGUUUGUCAAUCAAUCUGUCAGGAUGUCCCUGAAUUGUAGCACUUAUCACUUGGUAUUAUAGACAUCUGUGUCCCUGGCAUAACUGCAUCCUCUUCAAGGGCAGGAAUUGCUUCUUUUCCAUUUUUGCACUCUAGCAUCCAGCAUUAUGUUUGAGACCUAGCAUCUAUAUGAGAGACUUUGUUGAACGGAAUCAAUUGAAAGGCUUCCCAUUAUCAUGCAGUACUACUUGACAAAGAUCAGAACCCUGAGCAAUCAAGGGCAGGAAACAUAGGCUAGCUGAGCUUUGAAGGAAGUGAAAAGAAAAAGAGGCAGCAAAGAUGGGAACAUGGAGGACAGUCUGAGAAAACAAGCUCAGGGUUGAAGGGGGUGUUCCAGUGAAGGGGUGAUGAGUGGGACCUCACACAUGGAGCAGAUAACAUUGGUGCAUCAGUUGAUUUAAAUGAGCAGAAUGGAAAGUGUCUAAAAGAGAGAUGUGGAAAUGAGUAGAAACAUCCCUUUCCUGUUGGGCCAGCUAUUGUCUAUGGUUAGUCCUUUUCCCAUCCUUAUUUCCUCUCCUCUGAAUUGCAAGUUGCUGGAAACAUGAGAAGUGCAUUCCUUGCUCCCUUGGUUACUGGGCUUCAGUUAGCAUUUGCCAAUGAGGGUGAGCACUCAUGGGAGACUGGAAAGUGGUAGAAAGGGAAAGCCAUUCAGCUGGCUGUGACAGUGGCAGCAGCGGGCAGUACCGUGGGCUCCAACAGCAUUGGUGGUGGCUCCAGCAUCAUCACUGGGAGCUUGGGCUCCUGGGUUCCUGCUCAGCAGCUAUGGUCAGUACCUUCUGAGAUGGCCUCCUCUGAUCCUCACCUCUUGGUAUUCAUGGCCUUGUGAAAUCCCCUUUGCUUGAGUAACUUGCUGCCAACCAAUAGAAUAUGGCAAUGUUGAGGGUUGCUACCUUUCUGACUAGGUUGCAAAUGAUUGUGACUUCUGUCUUGCUGGCAGGCUCUCUCUAUUUGCCUUUUGGUUUGUGUGCUCUGAGGAUGCAAACUGCCAUGUUCGUGAGACCUGCAUGGCGAGGAAUUGAGGGCAGACUCUGUCCAACAGCCAGUGAGAAACUGAGGUCCAACAGCCUACACGGAGCUGAAUCUUACCAAUAACUACAUGAACUUGAAAGUGUAUCCUUCCCUUCAGAUGAGUGUAGCCUGAGUGACACCUUAACUGAAGCCUAUGAGAGGCCCUGAAGCAGAGGAAGGACCCAGCUAGCUCACACCUAGAUUUCUGAUGCAUAGAAACUGUGAGAUAGCAUGUGUUAUUUUAAGCCAGUUUUGAGAUGAUUUGUUAUACAAUAGCAAUAGAUAACAAAUAUGAUGGCAGAGCUCUGUUCCAACAGCAGUAGCAAGCGUGUGCUUGCCGACUCUGGAUCACUCCACAUUCACCUCUUUGCUUCUACAGCUAUGGGACAAUAGCAGCAGCGUCCUACAGUUGCCAAUUUCUAGGUAAUGCCAUUUUCCACUUGACCUGUGUUUUCAAAACCUUUGUCACCAUUUUCCUAUAUUAAAUUCCUUCAUAAUAACAGAAGAGUGGCUAACAUAUGCACACAACUAUUUUUCUUGAUAGGGAGAUAAAGAGAGCAUUGCUGUAUAUUAAAUGUAGUUAUGUCUUUUUAGAUGUUUAAGAAAAUGAAAUGCACCUUUUUUCAAGUGAAUAAAUGUUUGCCUCUCUGUA